rnacentral:misc_RNA from 1 species
UUGUAUCGUCUUGAGCGUAUUGUGGGUUUCCUGUGUUGCAUACCUAACCAAUGGUAUCGUUUGGAUUGAUCGAAGUCCCUUUUCAUCUUGUGUUGCCUUUGCGACGCAUGAUGAACCUCGAAGCGGUCUCUAUGUUCCACCAUGUUGAUGCUAGUGUUUCGAUGUUGUGGCCCAUUGAGCAUUGCUUGGUUUCGUGGAUACAGAACAUGAUUUGGGCAUAGGGUCACUCGUGACUCUUGUUUUGUCCUUUACCAGUGUUCUUUAUAACGACGGUUCAUGCGCGCCUAGGCUCGUACCUGUGCGAUGUUCUUUGUCGAAGAGGAAUGCUACCUGGUUGAUCCUGCCAGUAGUCAUAUGCUUGUCUCAAAGAUUAAGCC